UACGUAGGUGGCAAGCGUUAUCCGGAUUUAUUGGGCGUAAAGGGAACGCAGGCGGUCUUUUAAGUCUGAUGUGAAAGCCUUCGGCUUAACCGGAGUAGUGCAUUGGAAACUGGGAGACUUGAGUGCAGAAGAGGAGAGUGGAACUCCAUGUGUAGCGGUGAAAUGCGUAGAUAUAUGGAAGAACACCAGUGGCGAAAGCGGCUCUCUGGUCUGUAACUGACGCUGAGGUUCGAAGGCGUGGGUAGCAAACAGG
rnacentral:rRNA from 1 species